GGAACUGUGCCUGAAUGCCCAAGGACCACUUUGAUAGAGUGACUCAUAGGGGUUAAAACCCCCUCAGUUCCU
rnacentral:tRNA from 1 species